rnacentral:lncRNA from 1 species
CUGCUUAUUAAUAGAAACUGGAAGAUACAGGAAAAUUCCCAGAGAUUUAAGACUAUGUACACAUUGUGAUGUACUAGAUGAUGAGUUUCAUUUCUUUUUUAAAUGUAAAAUAAAUGAACAAUUAAGAAAAGAAUUUUUAAAUGAAAAUAAAUAUAAUAACUUAAAUGAUAUAGAUAAAUUAAAACAUAUUCUCAAUCCUGAAACAAAACAGGACACUUGCAAAUUAGGCUCCUUUUUAAAAAAGUCACUAAGACUGAGGGCAGGGAGUCCUUGAUAUAAUUUGAAUCUCUUAUAUAUAUAUAUAUAUAUUGAUUUAAAAAAAAAGACAAAUUAUAGUUCAAAGUGUGUCCAUUGUUUAUUUUCAUUGUUUUAUGUAAACUGUAUAUUAUGUAUAAUGUUUUAAGCCAUUGGUCCAUAUGGGCGUAAAGUGCUUUUCAUUAAA